UACGGGGGGAGCAAGCGUUGUUCGGAUUUACUGGGCGUAAAGGGCGCGUAGGCGGUCGUGACAAGUCACUUGUGAAAUCUCUGGGCUUAACUCAGAGCGGCCAAGUGAUACUGUCGUGCUAGAGUGCGGAAGGGGCAACUGGAAUUCUCGGUGUAGCGGUGAAAUGCGUAGAUAUCGAGAGGAACACCUGCGGCGAAGGCGGGUUGCUGGGCCGACACUGACGCUGAGGCGCGAAAGCUAGGGGAGCGAACGGG
rnacentral:rRNA from 1 species